rnacentral:rRNA from 1 species
UACGUAGGGUGCGAGCGUUAAUCGGAAUUACUGGGCGUAAAGCGUGCGCAGGCGGCUUGCCAAGUCAGAUGUGAAAGCCCCGGGCUCAACCCGGGAACUGCGUUUGAAACUGGCAGGCUAGAGUUUGGUAGAGGGGGGUGGAAUUCCACGUGUAGCAGUGAAAUGCGUAGAGGUGUGGAGGAACACCGAUGGCGAAGGCAGCCCCCUGGGCCAAAACUGACGCUCAGGCACGAAAGCGUGGGGAGCAAACAGG